rnacentral:lncRNA from 1 species
UGCAGUGUCCCAGAACGUGGAUGCAGUCCCCAUGCAGUGGAUGCAGUGUCCCACAAUGUGCAUGCAGUAUAUUGUGACGCUGGAUGCAGGGCCCAUGAAGGUGGAUGCAGUGAUGCUGCAGUGGUUGCAGUGCCCCCUACAGUUCCCUGAAUGUGGAUGCUGUGAACAUGCAUUGGAUGCAGUGAUCCUACAGUGAUUGCAGUGCCCCCUACAGUUCCCUGAAUUUGGAUGCAGUGCCCAUGCAGUAGUUGCAGUGUCCCACAAGGUCGAUGUCAUAUGUUGCGAUGGAAGAUGCAGUGCCCAAGAAGGUGGAUGCAAUGAGCCUGUGCUGAAUGCAGUAGUUGCAGUGUCCCACAAGGUUGAUGUCGUAUGUUGUGAUGGAGGAUGCAGUGCACAUAAGGGCGGAUGCAGUGAUCUGGCAGUGGUUUCAUUGCACCCUGCUGUGUCCCUGAAUGUGCAUGCUCUGAACAUGCAGUGGAUGCAGCGAUACUAAAGUGAUUGCCGUGUGCCUGCAUUUCCACAUCAACUGGAAGCAGUGUCCCCGCAGGGGUUGCAGUGUGGCCUUCUGUGUUGCUGAAGGUGAAUGCAGUGUCCAUGCAGUGGAUGCAGUGUACCUAGAGGUUUAUGCAGUAUGUUGUGACGGAAGAUGCAGUGCCCAUGAAGGGGGAAUACAGUGUCCCUCCAGUGGUUGCAGUGCCCCCAUCAUUGUCCUGAAAUGUUAAUGCAGUGCCUAUGCAGUGGAUGCAGUGAAUCUUCCGUGAUUGCAGUGUGCCUUCAGUGCCACUUCAGCUGGAUGCAGUGUAGCUGCAGUGGUUCAGAUCCCCUGCCAUGUCCCUGAAUGUGGAUGCUGUGCCCAGGCAGUGUCUGCAGUUUGACUCAAGGUGGAUGCAGUAUGUUGUGAAGUAGGAUUCAGUGCCCAUGAAGGAUGAUGCAGUGAUCAUGCAGUCAUUGCAGUGCCACUUCAUCUGGAUGCAGUGUCCCUGCAGUGGUUGCAUUGCAGCCUGCUGUGUCCCUGAAUGUGGAUGCAGUGAACAUGCAAUGGAUGCUGUGUCCCACAAUGUGGAGGCAUUGUGGUGUGUUGUACGAUGCAGUGCCAAUGAAGGUGAAUGCAGUGAUCUUGCAGUGAUGGCAGUGGGCCUGCAGUGCCUCUUCAGGUGGAUGCAGUGUCCCUCUAGUGGUUGUGAUGCCCCUUGCAUUCUCCUGGAAUGUGGAUGCAGUGCUCAUGCAGUGGAUGCAGUGUCCCACAACGUGGAGGCAUUUUGGUGUGUUGUAGGAUGCAGUGCCGAUGAAGGUGAAUGCAGUGAUCCUGCAGUGAUGGCAGUACACCUGCAGUGCGACUUCAGCUGGAUGCAGUGUUGCAGCAGUGGUUGCAGUGACCCCCGCAUUGUCUGGGAAUGUGGAUGCAGUAGUCAUGCAGUGGAUGUAGUGUCCCACAAGGUGGAUGCCGUAUGUUGUGACGGAGGAUGCAGUCCACACGAAGGUGGAUGCAGUGAGCCUCCAGUGAUUGCAGUGCGCUGGCAGUGCCUCUUCAGCUGGUUUCAGAUGCUGCAGUGGUUUCAGAGCCAACAGCAGUGUCCCUGAACGUGGAUGCAGUGCCCAUGCAGUGGAUGCAGUGUCUCACAAGGCGGUUACAGUAUGUUUUGUCAGAGGAUGCAGUGCCCAUG